rnacentral:rRNA from 1 species
UCCUACGGGAGGCAGCAGUGGGGAAUUUUGGACAAUGGGCGAAAGCCUGAUCCAGCCAUGCCGCGUGAGUGAAGAAGGCCUUCGGGUUGUAAAGCUCUUUCAGACGGAAAGAAAUCGCAUCUUCUAAUACAGGGUGUGGAUGACGGUACCGUAAGAAGAAGCACCGGCUAACUACGUGCCAGCAGCCGCGGUAAUACGUAGGGUGCGAGCGUUAAUCGGAAUUACUGGGCGUAAAGCGUGCGCAGGCGGUGAUGUAAGACAGAUGUGAAAUCCCCGGGCUCAACCUGGGAACUGCGUUUGUGACUGCAUCACUCGAGUACGGCAGAGGGAGGUGGAAUUCCGCGUGUAGCAGUGAAAUGCGUAGAUAUGCGGAGGAACACCGAUGGCGAAGGCAGCCUCCUGGGCCAGUACUGACGCUCAUGCACGAAAGCGUGGGGAGCAAACAGGAUUAGAUACCCUGGUAGUCCACGCCCUAAACGAUGUCAACUAGUUGUUCGGUGAGGAGACUCAUUGAGUAACGCAGCUAACGCGUGAAGUUGACCGCCUGGGGAGUACGGUCGCAAGGUUAAAACUCAAAGGAAUUGACGG